rnacentral:rRNA from 1 species
AGAGUUUGAUCAUGGCUCAGGAUGAACGCUGGCGGCGUGCUUAACACAUGCAAGUCGAACGGAGAACCCCUGACGGAGGAUUCGUCCAACUGAUGGGAAUUCUUAGUGGCGGACGGGUGAGUAACGCGUGAGGAACCUGCCUUGGAGUGGGGAAUAACAGUCCGAAAGGACUGCUAAUACCGCAUAAUGCAGUUGGGCCGCAUGGCUCUGACUGCCAAAGAUUUAUCGCUCUGAGAUGGCCUCGCGUCUGAUUAGCUAGUAGGCGGGGUAACGGCCCACCAAGGCGACGAUCAGUAGCCGACCUGAGAGGGUGACCGG